GAAGGGAGAAGCAGACAUUGAUUGAUCAUCUGCAAACUCAGUUUAUUUGGAUUUUAUGUAUCUACUUCUACAUUUUUGUGAGUAUCGUGUAAUGCAAAGUCUCUGCUUCUACGUGCAGUUACCAGUUUCAUACCAGUUCCAUCCAGGCUUCCUUAUCUCAAGGGUACCCUGCUUUUGAAGCUGUCUUUGUUCUAUCAGAAGGCUGCCUUUGUUUUAGCAGAAGACUGCCUUUGUUCAAGUAAGCUGCUACUGCUUAGUCUUCAAAGUCUCUCAUUUGCAGAGUCUGCAGCUCCAAUAAAUUGAUCUUGCUA